GUUAGUCCAAGGAUCGAUCAUUGAUGUAAUGGUAAUUAAGAUUUAUCGUGAAGAUAAGAAAGAAUCGUGGCCUUUACAAUGCAUUUCGCUAAGCUUGAUGACUCUCCCAUGUUUCGCCAGCAGAUACAAUGCAUGGAGGAAAGUGCCGAGUUGUUACGGGAGAGAGCUUAAG